GACGAACGCUGGCGGCGUGCUUAACACAUGCAAGUCGAACGGAAAGGUCCUGCUUUUGUGGGGUGCUCGAGUUGCGAACGGGUGAGUAACACGUGAGUUACCUGCCCUUGACUUUGGGAUAACUUCAUGAAACUGGGGCUAAUACCGGAUAGGAGCUCCUACUGCAUGGUGGGGGUGGGAUAGUUUCGGCGGUUGGGGAUGGACUCGCGGCGUAUCAGCUUGUUGGUGGGGUAGUGGCUUACCAAGGCCUUGACGGGUAGCCGGCCUGAGAGGGUGACCGGCCACACUGGGACUGGGAUGCGGCCCAGACUACUACGGGAGGCAGCGGAGGGGUAUAGUGUACAGUGGGCGGAAGGCUGAUGCAGCAACGCAGCGUGCGGGAUGACGGCCAUCGGGUUGUAAUGCGCUUUCGCCUGUGACGAAGCGUGAGUGACGGUAAUGGGUAAAGAAGCACCGGCUAACUACGUG
rnacentral:rRNA from 1 species